UAACCGCGCCACGAGUAGUAAUCACGUUUAUUGGGCCUAAAGCGUCCGUAGCCGGCUUGGUGUGUCUUUGGUGAAAUCCUGCAGCAAACUGUAGGGCUUGCUGAAGAUACUGCCAGGCUUGGGACCGGGAGAGGUUGAAGGUACAUUACGGGUAGGGGUAAAAUCCUUUAAGCCAUAAUGGACCACCUGUGGCGAAGGCGUCCGACUGGAACGGAUCCGACGGUGAGGGACGAAAGCUAGGGGAG
rnacentral:rRNA from 1 species